AACGAACGCUGGCGGCAUGCCUUACACAUGCAAGUCGAACGGUAACGCGGGGCAACCUGGCGACGAGUGGCGAACGGGUGAGUAAUAUAUCGGAACGUGCCCAGUAGUGGGGGAUAGCCCGGCGAAAGCCGGAUUAAUACCGCAUGAGACCUGAGGGUGAAAGCGGGGGAUCGCAAGACCUCGCGCUAUUGGAGCGGCCGAUAUCAGAUUAGGUAGUUGGUGGGGUAAAGGCCUACCAAGGCGACGAUCAGUAGCCGGCCUGAGAGGGUGAACGGCCACACUGGAACUGAGACACGGUCCAGACUCCUACGGGAGGCAGCAGUGGGGAAUAUUGCACAAUGGGCGCAAGCCUGAUGCAGCGACGCCGCGUGAGCGAAGAAGGUUUUCGGAUCGUAAAGCUCUGUCCUCUGGGAAGAAAAAAAUGACGGUACCAGAGGAGGAAGCCCCGGCUAACUACGUG
rnacentral:rRNA from 1 species